UUUUUCAUUAUUGACUCUUGCUUCAGUAAUCAGUCUUCUCUCCCUCUCUUCGCCAUUCUGGGCCAAUCUAUCCUCCUUGGCGCCAAUGGACAAUGGCAUCCGGGGAGAUUCCCGGCUUUGGUCUCGAACCGUCUGCUCGCCGAUGCCGAACUCGCCGGCCAAUUCCUUGGGCAUCCUGCCGGCUUCCAGGAGCCGAAUGAUCUCCAAUUUCUGUCGGAUGGUCAGCACCACUCUCUUCCGCUUGCCUGGCAGCUGUUGCGACGUCCCGGGACUGGGGCAACCGGG